rnacentral:rRNA from 1 species
UACGAAGGGACCCAGCGUUGUCCGGAAUCAUUGGGCGUAAAGAGCUCGUAGGCGGUUUGGUAAGUCGGGUGUGAAAUCUCCACGCUCAACGUGGAGGGGCCACUCGAUACUGCCAUGGCUCGAGUCCGGUAGGGGAGUGUGGAAUUCCCGGUGUAGCGGUGAAAUGCGCAGAGAUCGGGAGGAACACCCGUAGCGAAGGCGGCACUCUGGGCGGGUGCUGACGCUGAGGAGCGAAAGCGUGGGGAGCGACCAGG